AGUGAACGCUGGCGGUAGGCCUAACACAUGCAAGUCGAACGGCAGCACAGUAAGAGCUUGCUCUUACGGGUGGCGAGUGGCGGACGGGUGAGGAAUACAUCGGAAUCUACUUUUUCGUGGGGGAUAACGUAGGGAAACUUACGCUAAUACCGCAUACGACCUACGGGUGAAAGCAGGGGAUCUUCGGACCUUGCGCGAUUGAAUGAGCCGAUGUCGGAUUAGCUAGUUGGCGGGGUAAAGGCCCACCAAGGCGACGAUCCGUAGCUGGUCUGAGAGGAUGAUCAGCCACACUGGAACUGAGCCACGGUCCAGACUCCUACGGGAGGCAGCAGUGGGGAAUAUUAGACAAUGGGCGCAAGCCUGGUCCAGCCAUACCGCGUGGGUGAAGAAGACCCUCGGGUUGUAAAGCCCUUUUGUUGGGAAAGAAAAGCAGCAGGUUAAUACCCCGCUGUUCUGACGGUACCCAAAGAAUAAGCACCGGCUAACUUCGUG
rnacentral:rRNA from 1 species